UUGAAAUAUAAAUUUAAAAAAAGUAUUUGUUAUUUUAUUAAUAUUUUUAAAAUAUUUCAUAUUAUUUUUAAAAAUAUUAAAUUCGAUUCCAUUAAUUAUUAAUAUUCUAUUCAGUGAAAAAUAUUAUAUUAUUCGUAAAUUCCUUAUCACAGAGAAAUAUCAAAGCUACACUGAUUCUUGAUGGCUAGCGCAAAGAAGGGAAAAGGGAGAAAUAAUCGUUUUUUUACGUUAGAGCUAAAUAUCAAUUUGAUCCGAAAAAAAAAAUACGAUAGUUAUAAUACUACUAUGUAUUACAAAUGCACCAAGCUAUCAUGUGCAGGUAAAGGGAUAUUUAAAAACAAUAUCUUUCAUGUAUCCAAACAAUGCACUGCUCCUGCCUGCUUAGAAAUAACAAGACUAAGCUUACAAGUUGUAUCUAUAGACACACAAACUGAUCCCAUAUGUGUACAUGGUGUAGAAGUAGCCACACAAAGUUUUUCUUUGGUGGAAUUAGAGAAAACAUUCGCAACUCCAUCACGAAAGCAACACAAAGACAUACUAAGUAAUCUUUUGUUAGUUGCCGUAGUCUCAGACACCUAUGGAUAGUUUGGACCCGAAGCCUUAAAAUUAUUCAAAACAAUAGGGCACAGGUUUAAUCACAGGGUCCUAGAAGCAUUAAAAUGAGCCUUGGUUCUUAUAUAUCUUAAAGGGAAGUUCUGAUCAUAGAUUUGAUCCUGCUUCGAGGAUUCAGAUUCCAAGCUCUAAAAUCAACUAAAACUUUUCAUUUUGAAAGAUAAAACUACAAGCGCUGUUGGUGUACUUUGAGAUCAAAUCGUAAAGGACCAUAAUCAAGCCACCAGUAAUUUCCUAAAACAUAUGAAACAUUGUUCUUCUUUAUCAGCACCUGAAAAAAGAUUAUUCCUUCCUAAAUAAGGUAGAAAAGAACUUCAAAUAAUAAUGCCCAUAUCUAUUUAUAUUUAGACAUCAUAAAUAAUAUUUCAUUUUGUAACACAGAAUUUGAUUGCAAUUUUAAUUUUAUUAUAAAAUAAAUUGUAAUUAUUACUCUAGAAAAUCACGUUUCAUGUAAUUAGUAAUUAAUUACCGUUUU